rnacentral:rRNA from 1 species
GAUGAACGCUAGCUACAGGCUUAACACAUGCAAGUCGAGGGGCAGCAUUUUAGUUUGCUUGCAAACUGAAGAUGGCGACCGGCGCACGGGUGAGUAACACGUAUCCAACCUGCCGAUAACUCCGGGAUAGCCUUUCGAAAGAAAGAUUAAUACCGGAUAGUAUACGAAUAUCGCAUGAUAUUUUUAUUAAAGAAUUUCGGUUAUCGAUGGGGAUGCGUUCCAUUAGUUUGUUGGCGGGGUAACGGCCCACCAAGACUACGAUGGAUAGGGGUUCUGAGAGGAAGGUCCCCCACAUUGGAACUGAGACACGGUCCAAACUCCUACGGGAGGCAGCAGUGAGGAAUAUUGGUCAAUGGGCGCGAGCCUGAACCAGCCAAGUAGCGUGAAGGAUGAAGGCUCUAUGGGUCGUAAACUUCUUUUAUAUGGGAAUAAAGUU